rnacentral:piRNA from 1 species
UAAGUAAGGUCAUGCCCUUAAAUUGAAGGU